CCCCUCCGAAGCUGCCGCCUCCGAAGCCACCUCCUCCAUAGCUCCCUCCAAAGCUGCCUCCUCCAUAGCUCCCACCAAAGUUACUUCCAUAGCCCCCACCAAAGCCACCUCCUAAUCCUCCUCCAUAGACACUUGAUGAGCCCCCAAAGCAGCCUCCAGCAGAGCUCCCACGGCUAAAAGAGCCACCACUGAACCCCCCUGAGCUGAAUCCUCCACCAAGAGAGCCUUUGCUGCUCGAAAUUCUGAGGGAUGAUCCUCCUCCUCCUCCGCAUCCACUGCGGGAGGAAGAGUAUUGCUUGCUUGAGCUGUAUCGAAUAGACAUGGUGAUGCUGUUUAGCUCAGGGAGUGCAUGGUACCAAGGACAGUGACAAGCCUUUAUAUACUGAGAGGGUGUGUCCCACAUGUGUUAGAGUUUUGCUUACUUGCUUGGUUUUCUUUUUGCAAAAUUUGCAUCUUUGGCUUAUGAUUGCAUAAAUUAUCUUAAGUAAUCACCAGCCCCAAUAUGUUUGGUUUUGAAUUAGCCUUAAGAACAAACAGGAGGUUUGCUAUGUUGAAAUUGAAAAUGGGUGUUGGUCAUAUGAGCAUUUGUUUCUUUAAACUUUUUCACCUUUUUAGGAACCUUGAGCAACUUGAAAUCUAGUUUUGUUUUUUUUUUUUUCUCAGCACUAAUUUAGUUUGUACAGAAUGUUUGCGAAGUUUAGAAAAAAUUUUAAGUCACAAAAUCAUAGUUAAUACUUUUCAAAUUCAUGUUUUAAACAGUUUUAAUUAAUUAUAACAGCAUAAAUUCAGAUAGAAUCAUGCCAUGAUAUGGCUGUAGAGUAAGCUGCAAGCAACCAAAAUGAAAAUAAAAAACAUGUUGAACGAUUUGUGUUCAAAAGUUACCACAUAUAAAUAAAGACAUAAAAAUACAACUUAAGAAAUGCAUGUAUGUGUAUGUUUAUAGAAAAUCUUUUAUUUGGAGAAUGAAAGUACAUUGAUAUUUUGUCUAGGAAAUUGGAAGUGUGUAAUGAUUUGGGAAUCUUCUAAUUUAAUGGUGCUUUCUUUUUAGCAUUUAAAGAAAUCUAACAUCAGGAAGUUAUCCUGGAUUAAAAAAAUUUUUUUUUAAUUCAUUGUAAUGAAGACUUAUAUGAAGACCACAUUGCAGAAAUUCUUAGCACAAGAUAUGAACUAAUCUCCAGUAUUUCAUGUUUACUCUAAGUUUGACCAAUAGAAAAGGAAGUGAUUGUGAGUAAAAAUUUUCUUACAAGAAUAACCAGAUUAGAAAAUGAUACUUGCUUCAAAAUUAUGAACUGGUCUGUGAACAUGUGUUUGAAAGCUAGAUUCUGUUUAUCAAAAAAAUUUUUCCCUUGGAUUUACUGUGUGUAGAAUUUUAUAUAACUGUAUUUAAUAAAGUAUUUAAUUGGGACUUUUAAAACAUGAUAGCUCAUGUGGGCUUCCCUGAGAGCUCAGUUGGUAAAGAAUCCGCCUGCAAUGCAGGAGACCCCAGUUUGAUUCCUGGGUCAGGAAGAUCCCCUGGAGCAGGGAUAGGUUACCCAUCCCAGUAUUCUUGGGCUUCCCUUGUGGCUCAGCUAGUAAAGAAUCUGCCUGCAAUGCAGGAGACCUGGGUUCGAUCUCUGGGUUGGGAAGAUCCCCUGGAGAAGGGAAUGGCUACCUACUCCAGUAUUCUGGCUUGGAGAAUUUCAUGGACUGUAUAGUCCAUGGGGUCACUAAGAGUUGGACAUGACUGAGUGACUUGCACUUUCACUUUUCACUUUAACACAUGAUAUAAAAUUAUUUUUUAAUCUGUCUAUAGGAUAUGGCAUUGCUAUUCAAAAAUACAUUCACACACAUAUAUUUCUGUAUAUAUUCACACACAGUUUACAGUUAUACAGUGCUGUUUGUGAUGCUGUCAUUUUAUAACUCAAACAAGCUGCUGAGAUAGGGAGGGUAUUGUCUCUAUUUUAUAGAAGAGGAAGUUGAAGCUGAGAGAAGUUAUGAUUUUGCCUAAAGAGGUAAAAUAGGUGGAUAAACGAGGUUAGUAAAUUGGUCUGAAACCUGGCUUUUGGCUCUUCCUGCGUUACCAAUGUGUGUCUGUAUCCUCUGUUCUGGUGGAUUUGGUCAGAGAACUGAAUGCCUCUUUUUCUUACCAUAAACUUCUCCACACGGGAAGCAACAAAACAAAGCAAAAAGUACUUGGAAACAUGAAUAUGUUGAAAGGGUAGGAUGUUUGGCACACACUUCCAUUACUAAUUGCUUUCUCAAAUUACACUUAAAGCUGCACAUUCCAGUUUAUGAAAACUAUAGAAUUAGCUUCUGCAGGGAAAGGGAAUGUGGCUGGGAGUAUGAAUGAGGUGUUGACUGUGAGAGUGGAGGUUACUACCCAACAAUUGCAGCUUCUCCAACUUGUUAUCACUUGCAAGUGGGGCAGAGUUAAAAAAUGAAACUCAACUGUGGGAAUUGAUUUUUGCUGAAGAUAACAUGUAGUAAAGGAAGGUUAUGAUAAGUCAGACUGGAAAAAAACAUUCCAACAAGUUCAGAGAGGAUGUUGAAGACCUGAUAUUAAUGAAAGUAAUUUAGAAAGAAUAGUUAAAGAGAUUUUGCUAAAUUUUACCUGUAAUUAUAUUUUGGGAGUUGAUCUUGCUAGUUUUGCUUUAGUAUUAGCCUUUUUUUUUUUAACCCUGGUGGAAAAAUAUAAGCAUCUCAAUCUAGUUUCAGUUAACAGGUAGAGCUCUGUUACUAUCACAUUAAAUCACAGAAUUUGUAGAAAGCUUCCUAAAAGUAUAUGGGAAAAAGUACAAAUACAGAAACUCUUCUAAUACUGACUGUAGCAUUUAAGCCAACUGUAAUUUAUCAGAGACUCCUUAUUGACUUGUGCACUCUAGAAAUUGGUUUAUUGAAACCAGCUUUUGGCAUGUGUAAAAAUUACAGAGGUGCCAUGUGAUAAUCCUGCAGCUAAAUUGGAUGGAAAAUGUACUAUGGUCAGCUCUAGUGUUGGUCCUAUUUACACCUGAUUGCCAUAAUCCACCAUAAUUGUAAUUUCAUCAUUCUCAAUUUUUGUUGUAUUUCUAUGUAAGGCACACUGAGAGGUGUUUAAACUAUAGGAACGUAAAUGAGAUUCAUCUCCUACCUUUAUAGAUCUUACCAAUUGUUACAAUCUAGUCAUGGAGACAAAAAUAUGCACUGUAAGCCCUAUAUAAAUGGUAAAUGAAGUGGGAGGGAGGAGUUAACAUCUCCUGAGCAUUUACUGUGUUUUAGGUAGCUUACUCUUCUUUAAUCCUCCCCCAAAUUCUCCAGAUGGGUAUUAUUUAUCUCAUUUUAUAGCUGAAGAAAUGAAACUUUAGAAAGCUUCAGGGAUCUGCCAAGAGUAACACAGCUGAUUUCUGCUACAACCUAGUUUUGAAUCAGGCCUACGUGGCUUCAAAGAUGAUACUGGGUUCAUGACACUGAACUACCUGCCACCUUAAGACUGAUGAGCAAGGAGUCUGGUUGAAUGGGGUCACCUGACAAAGUAGAAUUUAAGCUGAGUCUCCGGAAGGAUGGGUGGGAGUUUUCCUUAUGUGCAGCAGCAGAGAGAACUGUUUUGGGCUGGAGAGUGGGGACUGUGAAAUGCCAAGCAGGUGGAGACCAGUUUGGCUGAAAGAUUUGUCCAUAGUUAUUAAUUUCUCUUACAGAUUUUAUUCAGCUUCUGCAGUAUUAUUCCUUGGGGAUACAUAGGUGACUCAGACAGUUCCUGCCCCUCGAUGAGUGUACUUGGAGAAACAAACAAACAUACCCAUGAAUCAGAAUUAGGGUAAUCUGGGCUACAGUUGAGGCAUGGACAGGGUGUUGAGGGAGUUCAGAGAAGGGAGUCUGACGGUUUGGCGUGUGUGUGUGUGUGUGUGUGUGUGUGUGUGUUAUGUGUGAGGACACAGUGAAAGAAUAGUGAGAUCAAGUUUUGAGGAGAAGACCAAUUUAGAUUAAAACUCGUGAAUUAGAAAUAAUACUGUGGAAAUGUCUUUCAACACUUAGAGUCAUAGGACUACAAUUGAGGAGAGAGGUUGGAGGAGCAGAUUUCAGGAUGGUGAGGACCCCUAAGGGAAGGAAUUUAGAGAAAUGAACAGAGGGUCCAAGUCUGAACAUUUUUGGAGACAACCACUUGAGGGACUGGUGAGAAGCUAGGGAAUAGUACUGAGAAGAGUGACGCUUAGGAUAUGGGAAAGCAGGGAGAAGGAUCAUGGAAGUCAAGGGGGAAAGAACCCAGGUAAAGUGGGGCAGUCUCUAAAGGAAGAUCAAGGAGAAAGGGGAUUGAGGAAAGAUCAUUGGUUAUUUAGAAGCCGUUGGCACCCUUCCAGAGGGCAAAUUCAGUAGACUAGUGGUGGGACAGUCCACCGUGUGUAUUGGAAUUGAUGGUUUUGCUUUUGGUAUUUUAUUUAUCACUUUCUUCUCAAUUGCUUCUGAGUUUUGUGUCAUGGUUAGGAUGGAUAUAGCUCUUAUUCUCAUUGGGUUAAUUUAUCUGGGGCUCUUGAAAUGUGUUGUUGAUUUAGCUUUGUUAUCAGCUUGACUCAUCUCACUGUUGGGGUUUGGAUCUCUUUUCUAUUUCUUUCUUAUUUUGCCUCCAGUAAAAUUCUCUUUUGAAGAAUUUUUCUAACUGAAAAUUCUAUUUGCACAUUUCUUUCUCUGAUUAAUUGAGAUGUAAUAAAUCAUUUAGUGGCACAAAGACAAAACUGAUAAUGCAAGUUAUGUCUCAAGAUGGCAAGGUUGAUAAGCAAAAUGUUUUAGAAUUUUUAAUUUAUCAUGUAAAGUUUGAGAAUAAGGCAUUCUUUGCUUGAAUGUUCUGUGACUGUGCAAACUGCUGAAAUGUGCCUUUGUGAUUAUGACCUAUGGAGUCAACACCAAGUGGAAAGCUGUACAAGUGUUUGAUGGAUUUGGUACCCUCCUCCUGGAUAGCUGAAUAAUUAGGACAAUCAAGAUAUUGGUAAAGCCCAUGUCUUCUCAUUGGAAAACUAAUAUUCAGGUCUCUGAAAUCUGGAGAGACUCCCAUAUUACACAGUUUUUCUAAAACUUCCAAGGCUGCACUAUGAUGGACACUGUCAAAAUAUGGAAACAGCAUGAAGGCUUUUCAGCGUAGCAGAGUGGUUAGAUGGGUGGGCUCUGGAAUCAGACUGCUUGGGUAACAAUCCAGGGCCAUCCACUUACUUUGUGACUUUAUUUCAGUUUUCUCAGCUCUAAUGUGGCAUCAUAAUUUUAUCCUAUAGAGGUGUAAGUGGGAUUUAAAUGAAUUAAUAUAAAGCAUUUAGAACAGUGCCUGGCAUUUCCUUCUGGAGAAGGAAAUGGCAACCCACUCCAGUAUUCUUGCGUGGAGACUCCCAUGGACAAUGGGGCCUGGCGGGCUACAGUCUGUAAGAUCCCAAACAGUCGGACAAGACUGAAGUGAUUUAUCAUGCAUGCAUGCUGGCCUUUAUAGAAUAAGUGCUUUAAAAAGGUUUUUCUGUUGCUGUUAUUACUAUUACUGUGAUCAGAACCUAACUCACAGUUGGUCAGUAAAAUAUGAGUGGAUGAAAAGCUAGGAUUCAAAGUUGAAAUGCAGCUAGUGAGGAGGAGAAAAUGGCUGGGGUUGGGGAAUGGUCCAGCAGGGGAAAGGUGUUCUAUUUGUUCUAUUUGAUAACUUUGUGACAAACCAUGCUGUUUUCCCCUGAAUGACACAUGCUCUCAUUAACUUCAUUCUUUUCUCUCCAACAUCCACCAAGUUACCAAUUUUGUCACUUUUUCUUUUGUCCCAUCUGAUAUAUUUGUUUCUUUUUGUCUGGUCCCACCACAGUUGUCCUAAUCCAGAAUUUCAUCACUUCUGUCAUCAAUUACAUCACCAGCUUCUGAAGUGGUUUUCUUGGCUCGGUGCCAUGUCACCUAAGAUUUGUUCUAUUCAUGGCUGCAAGACGAAUGCUCUUGAAAAACACUGUCAUCACUUCAUCCACAUGCAUAAGUACCUGAGGAUUUCUCUUAUUAGUAGAUUAUGUUUUUUCUGUUCAGUUCAGUUUCAUCGCUCAGCCGUGUCCGACUCCUUGAGACCCCAUGAAUUGCAGCACGCCAGGCCUCCCUGUCCAUCACCAACUCCCGGACUUUACCCAAACUCAUGUCCAUCGAGUCAGUGAUGCCAUCCAGCCAUCUCAUCCUCUGUCAUCCCCUUCUCUUCCUGCCCCCAACCCCUUCCAGCAUCAGGGUCUUUCCCAAUGAGCCAACUCUUUGCAUGAGGUGGCCAAAGUAUUGGAGUUUCAGCUUCAGCAUCAGUCCUUCCAAUGAACACCCAGGACUAAUCUCCUUUAGGAUGGACUGGUUGGAUCUCCUUGCAGCCUUGGCCUAUUCUGUCUGUCCAACCUCAUUCUUCCUGCAGUGAGUGAAGGUGGUAGAGUGGAAAGAUUGUUGCAUUCUCCUUGUAAAGUAAUUAAUAAAUAUGUGGCCUUGGGCAAAACUCUCAGCCUUUAAAAAUAAGCCUAUGUGUCAUUUUACUACCAUAUAAGAUAUGGAUAAUAAUAAUAGUAAAUACUAAAAUAUGUAUAUAGUACUACUACUAACAAUAACCCAUGAUACAGUGGAAGAAGGGUGUUAGCAUUCCUUAAAAACAUCCUUUAAUUAUACGCAAUCCUUUCUCUCUUAAAUCUUGGCCAAGACACAAUGGUUUAUCCUAUUUUAAGGCCUUUGUUGGCCUUAUUCAAAUCAAGUCCAAGCUACUCUCCUUCAUGAGGCUUCUCACCAUUAGUCUAGCCAUGGCUGUCUCUUUCUUUUCAUUUCCUGUGUGUACAACCUAGUAGUUUAUAGUAUGAUAUAAUUUUUAUUGUUCCCAAUGAGAUAAGACAUGAAAGCUCCUUUAGAGAAGGGAGGGUACCUUUUUCUCUUCCUGCACCUAGUAGAUACUUAAUGUUUUCUGAAUGUUUUCCUGUCGUCUCAGAGCCUUUUCCCAUUUUCUUUUCUUUGCCUUUAUUUUGGUCUCAAAACUCUUCUUGCCUAUGUUUUGGCAAUAUACAAGUUUAAAAUUUAAAUAAAGGCUAGUUGAAGACAACUAAUUUGAUUUUUCUUUAAAGCUAGUUGUAAUAAUUUUCAGAUAUGAGAACGUUGUAUAAGAACAAUAAUAAACCUAAGAUUCUGCAUAGGAAUUUUUAGAUAUCUUAAAAUAUAUGAUGACAUAUACCUUAGAUUAUGUAUGUGCCAUGCUUAGUUGCUCAGUAGUGUCUGACUCUUUGAGGACUGUGGCCCGUCAGGCUCCUCUGUCCAUUGUAACUUUCAGACAAGUAUCCUGGAGUGGGUUGCCAUUUCCUCCUCCAGGGGUUUGUAGAAUAAAUUAGUAUUAUUCAUGUUUAAGUGGAUACAUGUAAUGUGCCUAAAUUGAAAAAAAAUCUUCUGAAGUUAAUCUCUUAAUUUUAUUGUUUAGAGAUUUUUAUUAUUUUUUAUUAUUUUUCAUUUAUUUUUAUUAGUUGGAGGCUAAUUACUUCACAACAUUGCAGUGGGUUUUGUCAUACAUUGACAUGAAUCAGCCAUGGAGUAACAUGUAUUCCCCAUCCCGAUCCCCCCUCCCACCUCCCUCUCCACCCGAUUAGAUUUUUAAAAUACUGAACUGAAAAAAAGUCAAGAAACUUGUCAGUUUCAUAACAAAUUAAGAAAAGAAAAGCUCUUGUCAGAAUCAACUCAUUUUUGUGUGUGUGGUGGGAAUGGUAAAGAAUAGAUUUAAAUAAUUAUUUAACUGUAACACAAUAGCAGUAGAGAAAAUUUACCAUAACUGUUGAGUGAACUUCCUCCACAAGGCUGAAGAUUGAAAACAACUGAAGAGUUAAUAAUGUCUUGGAGUAAAUGCAUUAAUUAAAUAUACAGCAUUUGCAGUCAAUCCUCAGAUAGAGCUUAUAGAGCUUAUUAAAACUUUUCUAUGUUCCAAGGGCCUGUGCUAAACACUUGACCUGAAUGUUUCUGUCAUUAAAUUCUGACAGCAAGUGAAAGGGGUAACUUUUAUUUUAACUGAAAAAUUAGUAGCUUGUCCAAAAUUAUUCAUUAAAGGAAUCUGAACACAGACCUAUCUUCAGAGCUUUGCUUUAAUACAAUGAGCAAUGCCUACAGCUCUCCUCAAGUAAUGUGGAAUUGCAUUUUCUAGUCUUGUAAUUUAGAAAUUAGCAAGAACAUAAGGGAUUUUACUUUCUUUCUCGGAUUGGACAAGCUCUUCUUUUUUUAAAAAAAAAAUUUUUUUUUUAAAUUUAUUUAUGUGUUUUUGACUGUGCUGGGUCUUCAUUGCUGUGCAGACUUUUCUCUAGUUGCAGCAAGCUGGGGGUGCUCUUCCUUGCAGUGUGCUGGCUUCUCAUUGUGGUGGCUUCUCUUGUGGAGUACAGGCUCUAGGGUGCACAGGCUCCAGUAGCUGUGGCACAUGGGCUCAAUAGGUUUGAUUCCUGGGCUCUCGAGCACAGGCUGAGUAGUUGUGGUACAUGGGCUUAGUUUCUCUGUGGCAUGUAGAAUCUUCUCAGGCCAAGGAUCAAACCCGAGUCUCCUGCAUUGACAGGUAGAUUCUUUACCACUGAGCUACCAGAGAAGCCCAAACAAGCUGUUCUUAUCUUUGUUACAUUUGUGAUGGAAAAAUGGACUAAUUUGAAAAGAAAGCUUUUGAAAAGAAAGUGAUUUAAUACAGCAAGAAUUCUUGCUUUUGAAGAGGUCAGACUUGUAGGUCUCAUCUACUCAGGCUACACUCUUAACUUUUUGAAGUUGCCUCCUACUUGGUUUUCUAGGGGUUCCUAACUCUGGAUUGUCCUAAGCUCCAGACCAGUCAUUAAAAUAACAAACCAGAGCAAUUAGCCACCAUGAUUAAUCCCCAUGAUUAAUCACAGUGUUAAUCCCUUCUUAAAUGCUGGUUUUUCCACUCAGAGCUAACACCCAUUACAGAGAUUAACUGCAUUUUAAAAAUCAGGUUUUUACUGUUUACAUGUAAACACAAGGUGCAUAUCUGAACUAAUUUUAAUAGUUAACUGUGAAAGAAAGGGGUUUUGUUGCUUUGGGACUUUCCAGCUUCAAAAGCUAUCAGACUCUUUGAUGUCUUUCACAAAUAUUUUCCAUAUUGAUCAUUUUGGUUAAAAUGUGGAGUUUCGAUUAGAAUUUUCUAACUCUAAAACUUGGGGCUUCUCUGGUAGCUCAGCUGGUAAAGAAUCCGCCUACAAUGCAGGAGACCCCAGUUUGAUUCCUGGGUUGGGAAGAUCCCCUGGAGAAGGGAAUGGCUACCCACUCCAGUAUUCUGGCCUGGAGAAUUCCAUGGACUGUUUAGUCCGUGGGGUCACAGAGAGUCGGACACGACCGAGUGACUUUCACUUUUCACUUUCAAUCCUAAAGCUUAGAUAGAAAUGAUUGGAUAUUUAUUGAACUGUAAGGUGUUAUAUGUUAUUUUUUUUCCCCUUGACAUCUUGGAUAUAAUUGCUACCAUUUAAAUAGGAUGUAGUAGGAUUACUUUUUUUUUUUUCAACUAUCCAAGGAUGAGGACUCCACAACCCCUAUCAGGAUAAUUAUCAUUAGCAAUCUGUCACACUGAUAUCCAAUAAGUUGCUCAAAGUGUAAGAAUAUUAAGAAUAACAAGAACUGUCACCACUUUCAACACUAACAUUUGUUUAACAUUUACUCACUGCUAGGCACUCUAUGGUCUUUAUGUACGUUUUCUCAUCUAGCCCACUUAACAACCCUAUGAGGCAAAUACUACUUUAGAUCUUUUUUUCCCCCCAGAGGAGGAAACUGAAGAUUUGAGAUGGUUAUAUAUUGUACACAGGGGUAAUACAGCUAAUAAAUUCAUAGAGGAACCAGAGUUGAAACCGAGUCUGCCUCCUCUAGAUCCCAUACUCUUAACCAUGACCUUUUACUGCCAAAUGUCUAAUUAAACUUUGCUUUGUGAUUUCAAAGAUAGCCCCAGACAUGUGAAUUACAGUGGUAAAAAUGGAGCCUGUUCCAGCCUACAAAUGAACUAAAUGAAAUUUUUAAGAAUCCAAGGAUUGCUUCUGAAGGAACGAAGUAAACGUAAAAAGAUGAUUCAUUAAAAAUUCCAGAGUAGAAAAACAGAGUGGAACAUAAUCUAAACUACUACCAGACAAAACUUAUUUUUCUGUAUUUCAGAAGUUAUAAAAGAAAAUACAUUUAGCUGAAAAGUUCCAUAACAGUCCCAGAAAGAUCAUCUUCUAUUUGCUGUGUAUCCUGGAGGUGACAGAUAAUGCCGAUAAUGAUGACUAAAUGUUCACUGGCUUCUCCCUACUGAGACCUGCCUUCCCCUAGAGCUGUUCUCAUCUUCCCACUGGUUAACAUUCAGGUAUCCUUGCUCAUUCCAACUCUACAAGCUGUAAAAACACCUGACAGAGUCACGUAGGAGAGGGAGAGAUUCCAUUGCAGGCUUCAGUGGGGAACUGAGUCAAAUUCUCCCACCUUCAUGUCACCCCUGGAGGACUUUUCCUUCCCUUCAGCCUCUGACUCAUAAAACAGGAAAACCGAACUUUAUUGUUCUGCUUUAUCUCUAACACCACUGUCCAAUGAACUGUGUAUUAGUAUGGAUCUAAAUCUGUGCUUUUUGUUUCAGGAUUAUCUCUUGAUUAGAUGCUGAUUGUAUAUGUUUCUUUUUUAAAUAAUGAUGAAAAUUUAUCUUAAGCCUACUCAGUCAUUUAUUAGGUAAGACAGAGAAGUUAGACAUCAAAAUUGCUCUAUUCAGAACCAGCACAUAAGACUGUUUAAAAUGAGUGUUGGAUAAAAAUAACUUAAAGUACCUUGGAGUUACUUUUACAUAAUGAAACAUGUAAUAUAAAAUGUAAUUAAACAUUUAAGAGUAUUAUAGUUUUAAAAUAUGCCCUCAAAAUAUCUGUUUAACUUAUCAAACCCAUAAAAUGAAUGAGGAGGUGUCAUAUCUUGAAGGAAGAGCUAACUAAGUCUCUCACACUUUAAAAAAUAAUCAGCUUGCACUACAUGUGGAGCAAUGUCGCUUCUGCCAAUUAAAAAUGGUGAUGACUCACUUUAUUCCAUUUAUGCCUAUGCAGCAAAGAAAAAUAGUGUGUGAAACCUUAUCAUGCAUUUACCUUUAGUUCAUAAAAACCGAGAUUAUUGUCACUAGAUUAUGUAAAGACUUACCUAUAAUUGGUGCUAAAUAAAUAUUUAUUGAAUGAAUACACAAAUGAAUACAGGAUGCCUCAUUUAAACAUUUAGUUUAAAUGUUUUUAAACUGAACAU